rnacentral:rRNA from 1 species
UACGGGGGGGGGCAAGCGUUGUUCGGAAUUACUGGGCGUAAAGGGCUCGUAGGUGGUCAACUAAGUCAUACGUGAAAUCCCUCGGCUUAACCGGGGAACUGCGCCUGAUACUGGUUGACUUGAGUUUGGGAGAGGGACGCGGAAUUCCAGGUGUAGCGGUGAAAUGCGUAGAUAUCUGGAGGAACACCGGUGGCGAAGGCGGCGUCCUGGACCAAUACUGACACUGAGGAGCGAAAAGCCAGGGGAGCAAAACGGG